rnacentral:rRNA from 1 species
AACCCGCCUGCAUGAAGUUGGAAUCGCUAGUAAUCGCGGAUCAGCAUGCCGCGGUGAAUACGUUCCCGGGCCUUGUACACACCGCCCGUCACACCAUGAGAGUCGGGAACACCCGAAGUCCGUAGCCUAACCGCAAGGGGGCGCGGCCGAAGGUGGGUUCGAUAAUUGGGGUGAAGUCGUAACAAGGUACC